CCCGUUACGGGGCGCGCGCGGCCGCCUCCUCUCAGCUCCUGCCCGCGCGAGGCUGCCGGGCUCGGCCCUGUGGAGGCGCUGCCCUCGCUCUGGGCGGAGGUGACCGUUGGAGAAGCCUCGGCAGCCCACGCGCGCACUUGCCGCGGGAGUCCCGUUUCCUUAAGAAAUCGGGAGUUAAGUCUGUGGAACUAAGCAGAAAUCAGCCAAGCUUCCUCCUUAGGAGGAGCCAAGUCCAAGGAACUCAUCAAACUCCGAAGACCAGGAGCUGACUUAAAGUUGUUUCCUGGAGUCUACAUGCUUUGUGCAUCUUAGAAAGAAGAGAUGAGAGAAUAAUG
rnacentral:lncRNA from 1 species